rnacentral:rRNA from 1 species
AUUGAACGCUGGCGGAAUGCUUUACACAUGCAAGUCGAACGGCAGCACGGGGCAACCUGGUGGCGAGUGGCGAACGGGUGAGUAAUACAUCGGAACGUGCCCAAUCGUGGGGGAUAACGUAGCGAAAGUUACGCUAAUACCGCAUACGAUCUACGGAUGAAAGCGGGGGAUCGCAAGACCUCGCGCGAAUGGAGCGGCCGAUGUCAGAUUAGGUAGUUGGUGGGGUAAAGGCUCACCAAGCCAACGAUCUGUAGCUGGUCUGAGAGGACGACCAGCCACACUGGAACUGAGACACGGUCCAGACUCCUACGGGAGGCAGCAGUGGGGAAUUUUGGACAAUGGGCGCAAGCCUGAUCCAGCCAUUCCGCGUGCAGGAUGAAGGCCUUCGGUUGUAACUGCUUUGUUACGGAACGAAACGGACGAGCUCUAAUACAGUUUGCUAAUGACGGUACCGUAAGAAUAAGCACCGGCUAACUACGUGCCAGCAGCCGCGGU